rnacentral:rRNA from 1 species
AUUGAACGCUGGCGGCAGGCCUAACACAUGCAAGUCGAACGAGUGGCGGACGGGUGAGUAAUGUCUGGGAAACUGCCCGAUGGAGGGGGAUAACUACUGGAAACGGUAGCUAAUACCGCAUACCAUCGGAUGUGCCCAGAUGGGGUUAGCUUGUAGGUGAGGUAACGGCUCACCUAGGCGACGAUCCCUAGCUGGUCUGAGAGGAUGACCAGCCACAGUGGGACGGAGACACGGUCCAGUCUCCUACGGGAGGGCUCAGUGGGGAAUAUUGCACAAUUGGCGAAAUACUGAUGCAGCCACGCCGCGUGUAUGAAGAAGGCCUUCGGUUUGUAAAGUACUGUCAGCGGGGAGUCGUUACCCGCAGAAGAAGCACCGGCUAACUCCGUGCCAGCAGCCGCGGUAAUAC